rnacentral:lncRNA from 1 species
GAUACGGCCAGCAAGGGAAGACAGUCCAGAUCCAUGAGCUUAGGCAAUGGAACCGUGAAUGUGGAACGAUAUAUGAAGUUGAAACUGAGUGUAUGUGGCAGCGGAAGAUCUGAUUGAAUGAAGAGUGAUUUAGUAGCAGCGGAGGUGUUUGGAUAAUGGUUGAAGCUGGUGAUUGAAGUGCUUAUGGUGGCAGGNGUACUAGCUCAGAAAGCCCUCUCUAGGAAGGAAGCUAGAGGAGAAGGAAAAGAAGCACAAAGGAAUUUGACUCUCGGUGGAGAGAAGACGCUGGAAAAUGCUUCAGCAUAUCUAUUCUCUCAAAUAUCCAAAAGUGUAGUUACAAACUAUGCCAAGAGGUUUUAUAGAUGAACCUCUCGGCCUCCACAAGGAAAAAUGCCUAUGCCAACUAAUCAACAUGUGCUAAAGGAGCUUGGCUUCUAGAAAGCCUUAGGAAUCACGUGACAAAUGAGUUUUAUACAUGUGGAGGAAAAACAAUUACUAAUGCAGCCCCUUAUGAGGAUAAGCACACCCCUCCUUUGUAGAAAUGUCCACUUUACCCCUCUCCAUGUUCUUGGGUUAUCCUUUAUUUGGUGGGCUUGGGCCCCGCGUAUCAAAAGAACUUCAGGUUGAGUGACCUUGUGGGAGGGAACACCAGACUCCCACACCUCUUUUUCAUCCCUAAGGACUACUCUUUUCUCUUUUUUUUUUUGACUUUGUUUUUUGUUGUUUUUCUUGUUCCCUAGUGGACUUCAUUUGUGCUUGAUCCUG